CAAAGCUUUCAGUGCAUGCCGACCAAGCUAUGAUUUCAGAUGGAAACCAUGUAAUGUGUGGUCAUUUGUACCCCCAAACCAUGUAAAGCCUGGCAACCUGGUUGAUGUUUUGCUUUCCGUUGGAUUUGGAGAGGUUCAUAGAGAAUGAACUGCAAGUGCGGUGGUGAUGGGGAACCUCAGGACAUUUCCCUGAGGAGGUGGCUAUGAUGGUAGAACUUACAAGACUUCAGUGGACAUAAGAGCUGCUCGAGUCAGAGUCAAACCUUUUUGGAGGAGGGGAAAUCUUGGAUUGAGAGCGUGACUGAUACAGGCACCCAUCCUUGUCUCUGCUCCAGAUUACAGGAAUCUCUGAUGUCUCAGCCAAGAAGUGUAUCACAUUGACACCAACUUAACUCAUGACUGCAGGCUGGCUUUCCAAUCCAUUAGUGCCCUCCACAAGUCAAGUGUUGGACCACAGGAAAUGAAGAAGUAGAGCUUUGGUUUACAUAUGUUGACGUGAACAACUCAGUUGCACCCGUUAUGAGAGUAACUGCUCAGCUUAUGAUGAGUGAAUAGGUCAUCCAGCAAGAAACAGAAAACACAGAAAUGGACCUUCUUUGGGAGCAGGGUAGCAAGGUGCUGACAGCUUAAUGAAUGACUUGUCUGUUAUGACAGUAGGACACCUAGCAAUGCCAAGAGCAAAUAUUUGAAAGAAUAUGCAAUGCAGGAAAUGUAUGUAUGUUCUAUGUAUAGGACACUUAGAUUGCCUGUAUCACUAACAGAUGGGCAGCAUUUGAGAAAUCUUAUUUUAUAAUGUGCAACAUCACUCCUGUCAGAUACACUUUGAGAUCUGGGGAUUAAUGGAGCAUGGCACUCAGAGUAAAAUGGGAAUUCCAUGGUAUGUACUGAGGGAUUGGGGGUUUUAGGGAUAGAUGAGCUCAACAGAGAAUAUUGUCCAUAUUUUUUACAGGUAUAACUCCGAUUUCAUUUAUAAUUUAAUAAUAAACAGCUGCAGACGCCAUGUCAGAUGAAAUACGUCAGGUCUUCAUAAUCAGGGGCUUAAUCAACAUUAUAUAUGGUAUAUUUAUUUAAACAUUCUUGAAGACUCUUGUUAGAGAACAUCAUGGUAUAAGUGAGUCUCUUGUUUGUUUGUUUGCAAUUCAGCUGAAUGAAGACUUAAGCCAUAUGUCUAUAUAGAUAAACACUAUGGCAAGUGAGAGUCUGAGAUGAUAGGGCUCUCCCAUGGUGAAAGGGUUUGUUGGCUCUCAAAAGAUGGCAGCAGCAUAGAGCUGGAAAUAGAGGUGUAAUGUUAGAGACAGUGGUUCUCCCACAGUGUCCCCUGUAAUAAUAGUUGUAAAUUAUUCUCUUCUUUUUGCCUCCCUUGGGUUGAGCCUGAACAAAAAAAUUAUAAAUAUGUGAACACAGUCAAAUGACAGGCAAUAUAUUUUGCAAACUUAUGGGAGGGAAAGAGCUAAUUGUCUUAAUUUAAAAAACUCACUCAUACAAGUCACUGAAAUAAAACAAAAUCAUCCAGUAGAAAUAUGGCCAAGGCACAGGAACAGAUAGCUCCCAUGGAUUUAAAGAUAAAUUGAACUCAAAGAGGAAAGUGUCCCAAAUCAAAAUUAAAACUAUACAUUUUUAUUUUCUUAUAAAUUAGUAAGGAUCAGAAAGUGUAGUGUUUGUUAGAAGGUGCAGAACUAUAUGCAGAACUAUACUCACAUGUUGCAGGGAAUAUAAACUUUUAUGAAGUACAAUUUGUCAAAAGCUAUAAAAAUUUAAAUAGACAUAUUUUGGUAAAGAAUUCCACUUGGCUAUUGACACUAGAUGUGCAUGGAAACAUAUGUACGAGAAUGUAUAUAUAUUAUUGCUUAUGAGUUUAAAAGACUAAGAAACAACCUGAACAUCCAGCAAUAGGGGAUUUAUAAAUAAAUGGUAACUCCAUUGAAUGAAAUAGUAUGCAGUUUCAGCUGUCAAAAAGAAGGAGGCUCUGUACAUACCAAGACAAACUGACUGACUUCCACGAUAAGGUGAAAAAUGCAAAAUACUGAAUAGUGUGUAUAAAAUUCAAGUUGUGUUAAAAAGGAAAUGAAAUGUAUUACCAAUUUUAGCAUAUGCCCGUAUUAUCCAUGGAUGUUUACACAAAAACUUGGUAAUAGUGUGACUGCAUCUUGGGUGCAGAAGCAAGGGGCUAGAAGUCAUUGGCAGAAAGAAAAUAUAAUUUUCACUGAAUACUUAUUUGUUGCCUUUAAAAUGUUCACGUUUGCAUGUAUUUAUGUAACCUUUCAAAAAAUUGAAAUAGACAUGUACAAUGCAUGUAUAUUUUAUAUAUUAAUAUAGUGCAUAUUUAUUAUAAAUUAUAUAUGAUAAUAUACAAUUAAU
rnacentral:lncRNA from 10 species